rnacentral:rRNA from 1 species
UACAGAGGGGGCAAGCGUUAUUCGGAAUUAUUGGGCGUAAAGGGCGCGUAGGCGGCUUGGCAAGUGGAUGGUGAAAUCCCUCGGCUUAACCGAGGAACUGCCGUCCAAACUGCUUCGCUUGAGACCGGGAGAGGUGAGUGGAAUUCCCAGUGUAGCGGUGAAAUGCGUAGAUAUUGGGAGGAACACCAGUGGCGAAGGCGGCUCACUGGACCGGUACUGACGCUGAUGCGCGAAAGCGUGGGGAGCAAACGGGG